GUGCUUGCUUCAGCAGCACAUAUACUAAAAUUGGAAUGAUACAAAGAUUAGUAUGACUCCUGAGCAAGAAUGACACAAAUUCUUGAAGCAUUCCACAUUUAA